rnacentral:rRNA from 1 species
UACGUAGGGAGCAAGCGUUGUCCGGAAUCAUUGGGCGUAAAGCGCGCGUAGGCGGCCCUGUAAGUCCGCUGUGAAAGUCAAAGGCUCAACCUUUGAAAGCCGGUGGAUACUGCAGGGCUAGAGUCCGGAAGAGGUGAGUGGAAUUCCUGGUGUAGCGGUGGAAUGCGCAGAUAUCAGGAGGAACACCAAUAGCGAAGGCAGCUCGCUGGGACGGUACUGACGCUAAGGCGCGAAAGCGUGGGAGCGAACAGG